rnacentral:tRNA from 1 species
UGUGGCUCAGUAGUAGAGCACUUGCCUCACAUGUGCAAGGCCUUGGGUUCGAUUCCCAGCA